rnacentral:rRNA from 1 species
GAUGAACGCUGACAGAAUGCUUAACACAUGCAAGUCUUUGGUGAAGCUGUGCUUGCACAGCCUAGCCAAGGCGGACGGGUGAGUAACGCGUAAGGAACUUGCCCUGCAGUCAGGGAUAACAGACGGAAACGACUGAUAAGACCUGGUAAAGUCAGGCGGACUCAUGUCCAGCCUGAUGAAAAGAGAUGCUGCAGGAGAGCCUUGCGUCCUAUUAGCUUGUUGGUGGGGUAACGGCCCACCAAGGCAAUGAUAGGUAGCCGGCCUGAGAGGGUGGACGGCCACAAGGGGACUGAGAUACGGCCCUUACUCCUACGGGAGGCAGCAGGGGGGAAUAUUGGACAAUGGGGGCAACCCUGAUCCAGCCAUUCUGUGUGCACGAUGAAGGUUUUCGGAUUGUAAAGUGCUUUCAGCAGGGAAGAAAAAAAUGACGGUACCUGCAGAAGAAGCGACGGCUAAAUACGUG